rnacentral:rRNA from 1 species
GACGAACGCUGGCGGCGUGCCUAACACAUGCAAGUCGAGCGAAUGAAGUUCCUUCGGGAACGGAUUUAGCGGCGGACGGGUGAGUAACACGUGGGCAACCUGCCUCAUAGAGGGGAAUAGCCUUCCGAAAGGGAGAUUAAUACCGCAUAAGAUUGUAGUACCGCAUGGUACAGCAAUUAAAGGAGCAAUCCGCUAUGAGAUGGGCCCGCGGCGCAUUAGCUAGUUGGUGAGGUAACGGCUCACCAAGGCGACGAUGCGUAGCCGACCUGAGAGGGUGAUCGGCCACAUUGGGACUGAGACACGGCCCAGACUCCUACGGGAGGCAGCAGUGGGGAAUAUUGCACAAUGGGGGAAACCCUGAUGCAGCAACGCCGCGUGAGUGAUGACGG